AGGGCAUGCAAGUAUGCAACAAGAGUUACAAAUGUAUGAAUAGUUUUUGUUGGUUUAAAGGAGUCAGUAAUUUUUUUUCUGUAACAGUAGGGUAGAUUGGAUCGAGUCAUGUUCGAAAUGGUAGGAGAUUGGAUUAGGUCGAGUUAUGUUUGAAAUGAUGUGAGACUGGUUGGACCGAAUCAUAAUCGACCAUAAGGGUUAUGUCCGUACGCUUAAGUAAAUUGGAUGCGUAUUUUUAAUAAUUUGAGUUUUUGGAAUUAAUGGUUAGCGCGAAUGAUCCGACCGCUCUUUCUAUUCUCACAACCUAUCUUUUGUAUAAAAUAAUCAUUUGAUUCUUCUAUUGUAAAUAAUUCAUUUA
rnacentral:lncRNA from 1 species